rnacentral:lncRNA from 1 species
GAUGUUAAACCCAUGAAAUUUGAUUGAAUUGUGGGAAUUAUAGAAAUGUUGAUGUUAAACCCAUGAAAUUUGAUUGAAUUGUGGGAAUGAUGAAAAUGUUGAUGUUAAACCCAUGAAAUUUGAUUGAAUCGUGGGAAUUAUAGAAAUGAUAAUGUUAAACCCAUUAAAUUUGAUCGAAUUGUGGGAAUGAUGAAAAUGUUGAUGUUAAACCCAUGAGAUUUGAUUGAAUUUUGGGAGUUAUAGAAAUGAUGUUAUUAACCCCAUGAAGUUUGAUUGAAUUGUGGGAAUGAUGAAUAUAAUGAUGUUAAACCCAUGAAAUUUGAUUGAAUUGUGGAAUUGAUGAAAAUGUUGAUGUUAAACCCACGAAAUUUGAUUGAAUUGUGGGAAUUAUAGAAAUGAUGAUGUUAUACCAAUGAAAUUUGAUUGAAUUGUGGGAAUGAUGAAAAUGUUGAUGUUAAACCCAUGAAAUUUGAUUGAAUUGUGGGAAUUAUAGAAAUGAUGAUGUUAAACCCAUGAAAUUUUAUUGAAUUG